AUCAGGAAUAUUGCGCAAUGGGGGAAACCCUGACGCAGCGACGCCGCGUGCGGGAAGAAGGCCUUCGGGUCGUAAACCGCUGUUGUGGGAGACGAGUGACCGCUGAUGAGGCGGGAGAGACGGUAUCCCACAAGGAAGCCCCGGCUAACUACGUGCCAGCAGCCGCGGUAAUACGUAGGGGGCGAGCGUUGUCCGAAGUUACUGGGCGUAAAGCGCGUGUAGGCGGUCCUUUAAGUGACUGGUGAAAUCCCCGGGCUCAACUCGGGAGUGUCUGGUCAUACUGGAGGGCUAGAGUGCGGGAGAGGUGAGCGGAACUCCUGGUGUAGCGGUGAUAUGCGUAGAGAUCAGGAAGAACACCCGUAGCGAAGGCGGCUCACUGGACCGUAACUGACGCUGAGACGCGAAAGCCAGGGGAGCGAACGGGAUUAGAUACCCUUGUAGUCC
rnacentral:rRNA from 1 species